GAUGAACGCUGGCGGCGUGCCUAAUACAUGCAAGUCGAGCGAACAGACGAGGGGCUUGCUCCUCUGACGUUAGCGGCGGACGGGUGAGUAACACGUGGAUAACCUACCUAUAAGACUGGGAUAACUUCGGGAAACCGGAGCUAAUAGGGGAGAAUAUAUUUAACCGCAUGGUUCAAUAGUGAAAGACGGUUUUGCUGUGACCUAUAGAUGUAUCCGCGCGGCAUUAGCUAGUUGGCAAGGUAACGGCGUACCAGGGCAACGAUGGGUAGCCGACGUGAGAGGGUGAUCGCCCGCACUGGAACUGAGACACGGUCCAGACUCCUACGGGAGGCAGCAGUAGGGAAUCUUCCGCAAUGGGCGAAAGCCUGACGCAGCAACGCCGAGUGAGUGAUGAAGGUCUUCGGAUCGUAAAACUCUGUUAUUAGGGAAGAACAAAUGUGUAAGUAACUAUGCACUUCUUGACGGUACCUAAUCAGAAAGCCACGGCUAACUACGUG
rnacentral:rRNA from 1 species